UUUUUUUUCCUUGUUUCAGACACAUUUGCUUUAAAAAAAAAAGAAAUACACUCUCCUAUGGCGAUUGAAGAAAUGGAAUUGGGUCUUCACGAAUUGACUCAUCGUCAUCUCCAAGAUCCGAUGAAAUCGAAGCCGAUCUGAUGCAGUCAUAUAAAGGUAUUGGUGUGAUAGUUCGAUUUGGUGUUCAACAUAUCAAAACUCCAAAGUAUACUUAAAUACAAAAAACAACAAAACUCUCUCUCAAAGUAGAUUCAUCUUUGGUAGAGAGAAGAAGAAGGCGAUCUCUGACCGAAGGACUUAUUCUGAUCCUUAAAGGUGUGGAUGCCUUUGACUUCAAUCAACCAAGUUUUUCUCCACAGCCUAAUCUCAUCAAGGU